UACGGGGGGGGCAAGCGUUGUUCGGAAUUACUGGGCAUAAAGGGCUCGUAGGCGGCCAACUAAGUCAGACGUGAAAUCCCUCGGCUUAACCGGGGAACUGCGUCUGAUACUGGAUGGCUUGAGAUUGGGAGAGGGAUGCGGAAUUCCAGGUGUAGCGGUGAAAUGCGUAGAUAUCUGGAGGAACACCGGUGGCGAAGGCGGCAUCCUGGACCAACACUGACGCUGAGGAGCGAAAGCCAGGGGAGCAAACGGG
rnacentral:rRNA from 1 species